rnacentral:lncRNA from 1 species
AGGGCCUGCAGGACGCCCGCGCGCGGCCCCCGCCCUACACUGGCGUCUGGCUAGACGAUCGCAAGAUCUGCGCGAUCGGUGAGCGCCGCGGAGCAGGGCGGUACCUGAGAGCCGAGGAGUCCGCUGUGGAAGGCACAUCACAUCCCACGGCCUGGCUCUCAACUGCUCUACCGACCUCACGUGGUUUGAGCACAUCGUGCCCUGUGGACUGGUUGGGACAGGCGUCACUUCCUUGAGUAAGGAGCUCCAGAGGCACGUCACCGUGGAAGAAGUAAUGCCACCUUUCCUUGUGGCCUUUAAGGAGAUCUACAAGUGCACACUGAUCUCAGAGGACAGCCCCAACUGAAGAGUACUCAUAACAGCCAGGAUGCUCCUGCCUUGGGAAGCAUGAAGUCUGACUUGAGUCACCUACUGAAACCCAGAUUUUAGACCUGGCCUGUCAUUCACUGAUCAUGAAACUAAGGACAUACCAUGAGCUCUGAGCCACUAUUUUCAUAUGUAUCCUGUUUUAUUUAUAUCUUCCCCACCUACCUCAGAGAUACUAGAUGUGACAAUACUGUGAAAAGCAACACAUGCUAUAUAAAACAUUAGCACUGCUAUUGACAGCAGUGUCUCAGAGAAAUUCAGAUGUCAUAGAUUGUUAUUUCUCGAUUGUUGAUGUCAUAGAUUGUCAUUUCUCAAUUGUUGCUUCCUCAAUACUGUGUCUAACUGAGCAAUUCUGGGCUCUAGUUCCUUUGAUUUUGUGGGAAUCAAAUCUCUGAAUGGCCCA